rnacentral:tRNA from 4 species
UGCGCGGUGGUGUAACGGUAACACGCUGGUCUCAUAAGCCAGAAGCUGCGGGUUCGAGUCCCGUCUGCGCUA